AACUUUCAACAACGGAUCACUUGGCUCUCGCAUCGAUGAAGAACGCAGCGAAAUGGGAUAAGUAAUGUGAAUUGCAGAAUUCAGUGAAUCAUCGAAUCUUUGAACGCACCUUGCGCUCCCUGGUAUUCCGGGGAGCACGCCUGUUCGAGUAUCGCGAAAUUUCUCAAGCUUGGAUGGCAAUUUCUGUCUGUCCUUAGUUUGGUUGUUGGGCUUUGCCGUGUCCCUUGAUUGGGACGGCUGGCCUUAAAAGCAUUAGCUGAUCCUCGUGUGGAACUGGUUCUACUCAGCGUGAUAACAGUCUGAUCGCCGAGGACAUCUUUCGGGAUGGCCAGUCCCCAUUUGGAUUGCUUCCAAACUUGGUUUUGCAGAUUCUUCAAUCUGUGUUCCACUUUUCAGCUUUGACCUCGAAUCAGGUGGGACUACCCGCUGAACUUAAGCAUAUCAAUAAGCGGAGGCU
rnacentral:misc_RNA from 1 species